rnacentral:rRNA from 1 species
UACGAAGGGGGCUAGCGUUGCUCGGAAUCACUGGGCGUAAAGGGUGCGUAGGCGGGGCUUUAAGUCAGUGGUGAAAGACAACAGCUCAACUGUUGCAGUGCCAUUGAUACUGAAGAGCUUGAGUACAGAUGAGGUAGGCGGAAUUUAUGGUGUAGCGGUGAAAUGCAUAGAUACCAUAAAGAACACCUAUUGCGAAGGCAGCUUACUAAGCUGUAACUGACGCUGAGGCACGAAAGUGUGGGGAUCAAACAGG